AUCUUUGAUUAGUUAUAUUAACUUGCUAGCAUUGGACCAUAUACACUAAAAUGAGGAACCUACAUCAUUUUCUUGUCACUGCAGUUGUGAUUUUUCUUGUAAGCACCCAUCCAUUUGAGGCUUAUGGUCGAAUUCUAAAUGAAGAUGAUCCUGUCCAACAGUCUGACAAAAAGGGAGUGCCCGCCCCCCGAAAACACAAUGGCUGCACCUACAUUUCUGGCGGUGGCCCGCCUUGCAUCGACCAGAGAGGCCAUGUUAUGGCUCCACCACGGUUGCAACCGGACCAAAUAGUUCUGUUUAAUGCGGCAGCCUAAUGUCAAACGAGUACAUCCUUCUCUUUGCAGCGAGCAACUGUUUAGUAGCUGUAUAAUAUAAUCAUGAAAUUAAAUAACGGGAAAAUUACCGAAUCCCAAUUAAUGUUCUCUCUUU
rnacentral:lncRNA from 1 species